rnacentral:rRNA from 1 species
CAACGGCUUGACGAUAAGAAAGCUGUCUCUCUUUACUAAACCCUGAAGUUAGCUGGAUAGUGAAGAGACUCUCUUAGCAAAGCGGGACGAGAAGACCCCGUUGAGCUUUAGUAAAAAUUGUUUAUUAAAAACUUGAUUACUUGAGUUGGGGCAACUAUCUUUCUUUUUUAAAACAAAGAUAAAAAUGUUUUGAGUUGAUUCUUUUAUGACCCUUAAUCUUAGGAAUAGUAGAAAAAGUUACCACGGGGAUAACAGCGUAAUUUUUUUUGAGAGUUCUUAUUGACAAAAAAGUUUGCGACCUCGAUGUUG